rnacentral:rRNA from 1 species
GUCUUUUUGAUUAUAAUUUAAAGUCUAACCUGCCCAAUGAAUUAUUUAAUGGCCGCAGUAUUUUAACUGUGCGAAGGUAGCAUAAUAAUUAGUUUUUUAAUUGAGAACUGGUAUGAAUGGUUGGACGAGGGAAUAGCUGUCUCAAUUUAAUUUUAAUUAGAAUUUUAUUUUUAAGUUAAAAAGCUUAAAUUUUUUUAAAAGACGAGAAGACCCUAUAGAGUUUUAUAUUAUAAUUAUAUUUAAUUUAUUAAGUAUUUGUAUUAUUUUAUUUAUUAAUAGUAUUUUAUUGGGGCGAUAUAAAAAUUUAAUUAACUUUUUAUUUUUUAUUUCAUUAAUUUAUGUUUAAAUGAUCCAUUUUUUAUGAUUAAAAGAUUAAAUUACCUUAGGGAUAACAGCGUAAUUUUUUUUUAGAGUUCUUAUCGAAAAAAAAGUUUGCGACCUCGAUGUUGGAUUAAAA